rnacentral:rRNA from 1 species
AUGGCGUCUAGCAAGCCGACAAACCCCGAGAUAGACAAUGGCAUGGAGUGCUCCUCCCCGGAAUCGGGGGCCGAGGACGCCGUGGAGUCGUCGUCGCCGGCGCCGGCGCCAUCUUCGCGCUUCAAGGGCGUCGUGCCGCAGCCGAACGGGCGCUGGGGCGCGCAGAUCUACGAGAAGCACUCGCGGGUGUGGCUUGGCACGUUCGCGGACGAGGAAUCCGCCGCGCGCGCCUACGACGUGGCCGCGCUCCGCUUCCGCGGCCGCGACGCCGUCACCAACUACCAGCACCCACUGGCGGCGGAGGGGGCCAGCUCGUCGUCCACGAGCGAGCUUGCCUUCCUCGCCGACCACUCCAAGGCCGAGAUCGUCGACAUGCUCCGCAAGCACACCUACGCCGACGAGCUCCGGCAGGGCCUGCGCCGCGGGCACGGGCGCGCGCAGCCCACGCCGGCGUGGGCGCGAGAGUUCCUCUUCGAGAAGGCCGUGACCCCGAGCGACGUCGGCAAGCUCAACCGCCUGGUGGUUCCGAAGCAGCACGCCGAGAAGCACUUCCCUCCGACGACGGCGGCGGCCACCGGCAGCAACGGCAAGGGCUUGCUGCUCAACUUCGAGGACGGCGAAGGGAAGGUGUGGAGGUUCCGGUACUCGUACUGGAACAGCAGCCAGAGCUACGUGCUCACCAAGGGCUGGAGCCGCUUUGUCCGGGAAAAGGGCCUCUGCGCCGGCGACACCGUGACGUUCUCCCGGUCGGCGUACGUGAUGAAUGACACGGAUGAGCAGCUCUUCAUCGACUACAAACAGAGUAACAAGAAUGACGAGGCGGCCGACGCAGCCACUGCCGAUGAGAAUGAGGCCGGCCAUGUCGCCGUCAAGCUCUUUGGCGUCGACAUUGGCGGAGGUGGGAUGGGGGGGUCAUCAGGUGGAUGA